rnacentral:rRNA from 1 species
GUGGGGAAUCUUGCGCAAUGGGCGAAAGCCUGACGCAGCCAUGCCGCGUGAAUGAUGAAGGUCUUAGGAUUGUAAAAUUCUUUCACCGGGGACGAUAAUGACGGUACCCGGAGAAGAAGCUCCGGCUAACUUCGUGCCAGCAGCCGCGGUAAUACGAAGGGGGCUAGCGUUGCUCGGAAUUACUGGGCGUAAAGGGCGCGUAGGCGGACAGCUUAGUCAGAGGUGAAAGCCCAGGGCUCAACCUUGGAAUUGCCUUUGAGACUGGCUGUAUUGGGUUUGGGAGAGGUGAGUGGAAAUCCGAGUGUAGAGGUGAAAUUCGUAGAUAUUCGGAAGAACACCAGUGGCGAAGGCGACUCACUGGCCCAAUACUGACGCUGAGGCGCGAAAGCGUGGGGAGCAAACAGGAUUAGAUACCCUUGUAGUCC